GGCACCGACCUCGCCAUUAGAUCCACGUUUGCCCUCCUCACCCUGAGGUCCGGGAGCUCCCUGAGGUCCGGCGCUACCCUGCAGAAGGCAGCAAAUGCGGAGGACAACGCAAUGAGCCGGACAUCAACUUUAGAGAAAAAGAAUGAGGGAGGCCCUGAUUUUGUGUGAAUGUUAACUUACAGCCAGGCCUCUGGGACCAGAGGCACCCUGAGGUCCCUGAGGUCCGGGUCCUCCUCUGGGUCCGGGGAAACCGGGAGCUCCAGCAAGACCAGCGGCACCCUAUAAGGAAGGAACAGCCAUUAGUGACAUGUUCAGCCUGAGACGCUACUUACAGCAGCACCAGCGGGUCCAGUGUUGCCAUCAGCACCACGAGCACCAACGGGUCCAGCAGGGCCGGCACGACCUCUCUCACCAGCCAUACCGCGGGGUCCCUGUAUGGAGGAAAGCACCGAUGUGUGUUCAUUCACAGAAUGCUGACCUGCUAAUUGAGCCAGAAGGUCACGUCCAGCAACAAGGCCAGGAUCCAGUUUUAGCAUGCAGCACUUACAACAAGUCCGGGUCUGCCCGCAGCUCCGUGUGCGCCAGCCUCACCCUACGUUGAACAGGAGAAGAGGGAUGAAUGUG